UUAAGCGACUAAGCGUACACGGUGGAUGCCCUGGCAGUCAGAGGCGAUGAAGGACGUGCUAAUCUGCGAAAAGCGUCGGUAAGGUGAUAUGAACCGUUACAGCCGGCGAUGUCCGAAUGGGGAAACCCAGUGCAAUUCGUUGCACUAUCGUUAACUGAAUACAUAGGUUAACGAGGCGAACCGGGGGAACUGAAACAUCUAAGUACCCCGAGGAAAAGAAAUCAACCGAGAUUCCCCCAGUAGCGGCGAGCGAACGGGGAGCAGCCCAGAGUCUGAAUCAGCUUGUGUGUUAGUGGAACGGUCUGGAAAGUCCGACGGUACAGGGUGAUAGUCCCGUACACCAAAAUGCACAGGUUGUGAACUCGAAGAGUAGGGCGGGACACGUGGUAUCCUGUCUGAAUAUGGGGGGACCAUCCUCCAAGGCUAAAUACUCCUGACUGACCGAUAGUGAACCAGUACCGUGAGGGAAAGGCGAAAAGAACCCCGGCGAGGGGAGUGAAAAAGAACCUGAAACCGUGUACGUACAAGCAGUGGGAGCACCUUCGGGUGUGACUGCGUACCUUUUGUAUAAUGGGUCAGCGACUUAUAUUCUGUAGCAAGGUUAACCGUAUAGGGGAGCCGCAGGGAAACCGAGUCUUAACUGGGCGUUAAGUUGCAGGGUAUAGACCCGAAACCCGGUGAUCUAGCCAUGGGCAGGUUGAAGGUUGGGUAACACUAACUGGAGGACCGAACCGACUAAUGUUGAAAAAUUAGCGGAUGACUUGUGGCUGGGGGUGAAAGGCCAAUCAAACCGGGAGAUAGCUGGUUCUCCCCGAAAGCUAUUUAGGUAGCGCCUCGUGAACUCAUCUUCGGGGGUAGAGCACUGUUUCGGCUAGGGGGUCAUCCCGACUUACCAACCCGAUGCAAACUACGAAUACCGAAGAAUGUUAUCACGGGAGACACACGGCGGGUGCUAACGUCCGUCGUGAAGAGGGAAACAACCCAGACCGCCAGCUAAGGUCCCAAAGUCAUGGUUAAGUGGGAAACGAUGUGGGAAGGCACAGACAGCCAGGAUGUUGGCUUAGAAGCAGCCAUCAUUUAAAGAAAGCGUAAUAGCUCACUGGUCGAGUCGGCCUGCGCGGAAGAUGUAACGGGGCUAAACCAUGCACCGAAGCUGCGGCAGCGACACUAUGUGUUGUUGGGUAGGGGAGCGUUCUGUAAGCCUGCGAAGGUGUGCUGUGAGGCAUGCUGGAGGUAUCAGAAGUGCGAAUGCUGACAUAAGUAACGAUAAAGCGGGUGAAAAGCCCGCUCGCCGGAAGACCAAGGGUUCCUGUCCAACGUUAAUCGGGGCAGGGUGAGUCGACCCCUAAGGCGAGGCCGAAAGGCGUAGUCGAUGGGAAACAGGUUAAUAUUCCUGUACUUGGUGUUACUGCGAAGGGGGGACGGAGAAGGCUAUGUUAGCCGGGCGACGGUUGUCCCGGUUUAAGCAUGUAGGCUGGUUAUCCAGGCAAAUCCGGAUAAUCAAGGCUGAGGUGUGAUGACGAGGCACUACGGUGCUGAAGUAACAAAUGCCCUGCUUCCAGGAAAAGCCUCUAAGCAUCAGGUAACAUUAAAUCGUACCCCAAACCGACACAGGUGGUCAGGUAGAGAAUACCAAGGCGCUUGAGAGAACUCGGGUGAAGGAACUAGGCAAAAUGGUGCCGUAACUUCGGGAGAAGGCACGCUGGUGUGUAGGUGAAGUCCCUGCGGAUGGAGCUGAGACCAGUCGAAGAUACCAGCUGGCUGCAACUGUUUAUUAAAAACACAGCACUGUGCAAACACGAAAGUGGACGUAUACGGUGUGACGCCUGCCCGGUGCCGGAAGGUUAAUUGAUGGGGUUAUCCGUAAGGAGAAGCUCUUGAUCGAAGCCCCGGUAAACGGCGGCCGUAACUAUAACGGUCCUAAGGUAGCGAAAUUCCUUGUCGGGUAAGUUCCGACCUGCACGAAUGGCGUAAUGAUGGCCAGGCUGUCUCCACCCGAGACUCAGUGAAAUUGAACUCGCUGUGAAGAUGCAGUGUACCCGCGGCAAGACGGAAAGACCCCGUGAACCUUUACUAUAGCUUGACACUGAACAUUGAGCCUUGAUGUGUAGGAUAGGUGGGAGGCUUUGAAGCGUGGACGCCAGUCUGCGUGGAGCCAACCUUGAAAUACCACCCUUUAAUGUUUGAUGUUCUAACGUUGGCCCCUUACCGGGGUUGCGGACAGUGUCUGGUGGGUAGUUUGACUGGGGCGGUCUCCUCCCAAAGCGUAACGGAGGAGCACGAAGGUUAGCUAAUCCUGGUCGGACAUCAGGAGGUUAGUGCAAUGGCAUAAGCUAGCUUGACUGCGAGCGUGACGGCGCGAGCAGGUGCGAAAGCAGGUCAUAGUGAUCCGGUGGUUCUGAAUGGAAGGGCCAUCGCUCAACGGAUAAAAGGUACUCCGGGGAUAACAGGCUGAUACCGCCCAAGAGUUCAUAUCGACGGCGGUGUUUGGCACCUCGAUGUCGGCUCAUCACAUCCUGGGGCUGAAGUAGGUCCCAAGGGUAUGGCUGUUCGCCAUUUAAAGUGGUACGCGAGCUGGGUUUAGAACGUCGUGAGACAGUUCGGUCCCUAUCUGCCGUGGGCGCUGGAGAAUUGAGGGGGGCUGCUCCUAGUACGAGAGGACCGGAGUGGACGCAUCACUGGUGUUCGGGUUGUCAUGCCAAUGGCACUGCCCGGUAGCUAAAUGCGGAAGAGAUAAGUGCUGAAAGCAUCUAAGCACGAAACUUGCCCCGAGAUGAGUUCUCCCUGAGACU
rnacentral:rRNA from 1 species